CCUUGNCCUAUNCAAAAUGCGGAGGAAAAGGAAACUAACAAGGAUUCCCUUAGUAACGGCGAGUGAAGCGGGAAGAGCUCAAAUUUGAAAUCUUCAAGGUUUUACCUUGACGAAUUGUAGUUUAAAGAAGUGUUUUCUGUUGAAGUUUUGGUAAAAGUUCUUUGGAAUAGGACAUCAUAGAGGGUGAGAAUCCCGUAUUUGACCAUUAUUUUCAGCUGUGUGAUACACUUUCAAAGAGUCGGAUUGUUUGGGAAUGCAGUCCAAAAUGGGUGGUAAAUUUCAUCUAAAGCUAAAUAUUGGCGAGAGACCGAUAGCGAACAAGUACCGUGAGGGAAAGAUGAAAAGAACUUUGAAAAGAGAGUUAAACAGUACGUGAAAUUGUCAAAAGGGAAGCGUUUGACACCAGUGUUGUUUUCUCGAAAAUCAAUUAAAAAGAGUUGGAUUUUGUGUUGUAUUGACCUUAACAGCUUGCUUCACUCUUUUCCUGCUUUUUUUAAUGCACUUUUCGUUUAACAAGUCAACAUCAGUUUCUUUUGUUGUAAAAGGGUCAUUGGAAGGUGGCUUUCUCUUCGGAGAAAGUGUUUAUAGCCUUUGAUCUCUGCAAUCGGAGAGACUGAGGUCUGCAGCGUAGAUCCUUCGGGGUUAGAUACAUUUGUGCUAAGCUACAGCUUUUCAUAGACAACUUGUUGACUAUGUUUAGUCUUGUGACUUACCCGCUUAUGCUAUUUUACCUACGCUUAGGAUGUUGACAAAAUGGUUUUAAACGACCCGUCUUAAAACACACGAAACCAAAAA
rnacentral:rRNA from 1 species